rnacentral:rRNA from 1 species
UGGGGAAUUUUGGACAAUGGGGGCAACCCUGAUCCAGCCAUGCCGCGUGCAGGAAGAAGGCCUUCGGGUUGUAAACUGCUUUCGGACGGAAAGAAAUCGCAUGGGUUAAUACCCUGUGUGGAUGACGGUACCGUAAGAAGAAGCACCGGCUAACUACGUGCCAGCAGCCGCGGUAAUACGUAGGGUGCGAGCGUUAAUCGGAAUUACUGGGCGUAAAGCGUGCGCAGGCGGUUUCUUAAGCCAGACGUGA